rnacentral:rRNA from 1 species
AGAUUGAACGCUGGCGGCAGGCCUAACACAUGCAAGUCGAGCGGUAGAGAGGUGCUUGCACCUCUUGAGAGCGGCGGACGGGUGAGUAAUGCCUAGGAAUCUGCCUAGUGGUGGGGGAUAACGUUCGGAAACGGACGCUAAUACCGCAUACGUCCUACGGGAGAAAGCGGGGGACCUUCGGGCCUCGCGCCAUUAGAUGAGCCUAGGUCGGAUUAGCUAGUUGGUGAGGUAAUGGCUCACCAAGGCGACGAUCCGUAACUGGUCUGAGAGGAUGAUCAGUCACACUGGAACUGAGACACGGUCCAGACUCCUACGGGAGCAGCAGUGGGGAAUAUUGGACAAUGGGCGAAAGCCUGAUCCAGCCAUGCCGCGUGUGUGAAGAAGGUCUUCGGAUUGUAAAGCACGUUUAAGCUGGAGAAGGUUGUAAACGUUAAUACGUGCAACUUUGACGUUACGACAGAAUAAGCACCGGCUAACUUCGUGCCAGCAGCCGUACG